rnacentral:lncRNA from 12 species
CGCCAUUCUUCCAGCCCUGAAAGCCAGACUAGGCCUCAGCAAGUAACAAAGUACCUAACUGGACCCCGACCUCCGGCUGUGCCGGGCCCCUGUGUGAGCGUGGAUGUGGAGGAAUGGACACUCCUGAAGAAUCCCUCAGGCUCUGCUGCCUGCAGAGAGGGUCUGUAUGACCACAUGAGGGGAGUACACCAUGAAGCUGCUCUAUUUCCAGAUGUGUCCUCUCCAAGGAGUCGUUUCUAUCAACAUUAAUAUUUGCAUUUUUACAUAGCCAGGGAGGUUUGAUGUCUGCAAGGAGGGUCAGCUCAACUCCAGAAGUUUUCCCAGACCCUUUUCAUCCAGUUGUGGCGUUUCAAGCAGAUGAAAAUUCAAAGGGACAUUUGGAAGUGGACAUGUUGUUAUGAAUAUAAACAUGGAUGAGCCAUUUUUCGUGAAGGGGAGACAGUGUUUACUGUUGCUGAGCUGUAGAGCAGAUAAAUAAAAGCAUUCUCAAGUGCAUUCAGCUGUGUUCUGCUACAGGGAGCUACUCUGGCUGUUCAUAAAAACCUCCACAGAGCAAACACCAGUGGCAUUUCCUCCCC